AAGGAACCAGUGGAAGAACUGUUGAGCAGGUUGGAUCUCCAGGAAGAUGAGGAGGACAACUUUGUUUGGGAGGAGGAGUGCAAGGAUGAACAGAUUGAGGCCAAGUGGCUGGCGAUAGCGAAAGUGGACACCGACAAGAGUUUUAGCCCAUCUGCCCUUUACUCGGACAUGCGUUCGGCAUGGAACCCAGCAAGGGCGGUGCGCUGGCGUAAGGUAGAUGACAAUCUUUUCACAGUACAGUUUGGAUGUCUUGGUGAUUAG
rnacentral:rRNA from 1 species